CCUACGGGAGGCAGCAGUGGGGAAUAUUGGACAAUGGGGGGAACACUGAUCGAGCGACGCCGCGUGAGUGAAGAAGGAUUUCGGUAUGUAAAGCUCUAUUAGCAGGGAAGAAAAUGACGGUACCUGACAAAGAAGCACCGGCACACUACGUGCCCGAAGCCGCAGUAAUAAGUAGGGGGCAAGAGUUAUCCGGAUUUAAUGGGUGUAAAGGGAACGUCGACGGUGUUGCAAGUCUGAUGUGAAAGGUCGGGGCCCAACCCCGGGACUGCAUUGGAAACUGUUGAACUGGAGUACAGGAGAGGUAAGUGGAAUUCCUAGUGUAGCGGUGAAAUGCGUAGAUAUUAGGAGGAACACCAGUGGCGAAGGCGGCUCUCUGGACUGUAACUGACGUUGAGGCUCGAAAGCGUGGGGAGCAAACAGGAUUAGAUACCCGGGUAGUC
rnacentral:rRNA from 1 species